UGUUUGAUACAUAGAUGUUUACCUUACUUGGGUUGUACUUUGGUUGUGUUCAAGAUGCUAGUCCUCUGUGGUGUCUAGUAUUCUUAGAGUUAGGAGUUGUAUGGAUUUUAACUUAUACAUUGUUUUAGACCCGUCGAAUGCUCGUGCUUCGGAGUCUACGCAGGGUUAGCUGUUUGCCAAGAUUUCACGUGGAUAAGCAAGCAGUUUAUGAUUUGAAAGCUGGUCCACUCCGAUUCUUGAUUCUUGGAGGUUUUUAUGUCAAUAAAACUAGUCUGUUGUUUUAAACUCUUAGACCGCAGUAGAACUAGUAUAGUGUUUGAUUAUUAUACUUUGGUUUGUCGUGGUGGUACGACUUUUAUAUUAUUAUACUUUGGCAUGUUACAUUGGAUUAUUAUAUUUGAGGCAUGAUUCACAGUUUCGGAUUA